rnacentral:lncRNA from 1 species
AUGCCGCUAUUUCCAGUAGUUUUGUGGGCUCAGAAAAAGGAGUGCCUUUAUCUAACUAUCGAUUUACAAGAUGCAGAAGAUGUCAAAAUUGACUUAAAAGAAGAUAAUUUGUAUUUUUAUGGAAAAAAAGAUAACAAUGAGUAUGAAUUUACAUUAAAUUUUUUAAAACCAAUAAAUGUAGAAGAAUCUAAAUAUGCUACUAAAAGAAACAUUAAAUUUAAAAUAAUAAAGAAAGAAAAAGAAAGAUGGAAGACAAUUAAUAAGGAUGGAAAAAAACAUUGGGUUAAAUGUGACUGGAACUCAUGGGUUGAUACAGAUGAAGAAAAUAAAACAACUGAAUAUGAUGAUAUGGCUAUGAACAAUUUUGGUGGUAUGGGUGGAAUGCCAGAUAUGAGUCAGUUUGGUGGUAUGGGCGGUAUGCCAGGUAUGGGAGGAAUGGGCGGUAUGCCAGGUAUGGGAGGAAUGGGUGGUAUGCCAGGUAUGGGAGGAAUGGGUGGUAUGCCAGGUAUGGGAGACAUUGAUUUUAGUAAAUUAGGAAAUAUGGGUGGUGACAUGAAUAAUUUUUCAGGAUUAGGAGGAAUGGAUCAAUUUAAAAAUAUGCCAGAUAUGAACAAUAUGAAUAAUGAUGAUGAUUCAAGUUCUUAUGGAGAUGACUCAAGUGAUGCCGAUGAUGAUGAUGAUGAUGAUGAUGCAACAAGUGGCGGUGAUGGUGAUGAUACAAGUGUAGGUGAUGAUGAGGAAGGUCACGAUGCUGAUAAUAAAAUGGAUUUAAAGAAAGAUAAGGACGUAUCUAAAUGUAAAGUAAAUAAUGAUAAUAAUAUACAUGAAGAAGAAGCAAAGAUUCAAGAACCAGUUGAAGUAGAAGAACCCGUGGCUUAAUUUUUAAACACUUUCUUAGUUAUGUUAAUACAUAUAUAUAUUAGUAAAUGCAUUAGUAAAUAUAUUAUUUAAUAUAUUUAAUUUAUAUUGUAUAUACCUAUGUAACUCAUCUUGUGUAUUUAUAGUAUCAAAAAAGGGAGGCGCUUCUUUUUUAUUUUUAUAUAAUUAUGUACAUAAGUAUAUAUAUAUAUAUAUAUAUAUAUAUAUAUGCAUACGACCACAUAUGAAUAUAUAUAUUGUAUGACCCUGUUACUUCAUAUAUUUAG